rnacentral:rRNA from 1 species
GGAUGAACGCUAGCGACAGGCCUAACACAUGCAAGUCGAGGGGCAGCACAUGAGUAGCAAUACGAUGGUGGCGACCGGCGCACGGGUGAGUAACACGUAUGCAACCUGCCUGUAAGAGGGGAAUAACCCGGAGAAAUUCGGACUAAUACCGCAUAAUACCACGAGACUGCAUGGUUUUGUGGUUAAACAUUUAUGGCUUACAGAUGGGCAUGCGUAUGAUUAGAUAAUUGGUAGGGUAACGGCCUACCAAGUCUACGAUCAUUAGGGGUUCUGAGAGGAAGGUCCCCCACACUGGUACUGAGACACGGACCAGACUCCUACGGGAGGCAGCAGUGAGGAAUAUUGGUCAAUGGGCGAGAGCCUGAACCAGCCAAGUCGCGUGAAGGAAGAAGGUUCUAUGGAUUGUAAACUUCUUUUGCAGGGGAAUAAAGGACGGUACGUGUACUGUUUUGUAUGUACCUUGCGAAUAAGGAUCGGCUAACUCCGUGCCAGCAGCCGCGGUAAUACGGAGGAUCCGAGCGUUAUCCGGAUUUAUUGGGUUUAAAGGGUGCGUAGGUGGAUUGUUAAGUCAGUGGUGAAAGUUUUCAGCUCAACUGAAAAAUUGCCGUUGAAACUGUCGAUCUUGAGUGCAAAUGAGGUAGGCGGAAUGUGUUGUGUAGCGGUGAAAUGCUUAGAUAUAACACAGAACUCCGAUUGCGAAGGCAGCUUACUGGGAUGCAACUGACACUGAUGCACGAAAGCGUGGGUAUCAAACAGGAUUAGAUACCCUGGUAGUCCACGCAGUAAACGAUGAAUACUAGCUGUAUGCGAUACACCGUAUGUGGCACAGCGAAAGCGUUAAGUAUUCCACCUGGGGAGUACGUUCGCAAGAAUGAAACUCAAAGGAAUUGACGGGGGCCCGCACAAGCGGAGGAACAUGUGGUUUAAUUCGAUGAUACGCGAGGAACCUUACCUGGGCUUAAAUGUAGAGUGCAUUUUCUAGAGAUAGGAAUUCCCUUCGGGGCUUUCUGCAAGGUGCUGCAUGGUUGUCGUCAGCUCGUGCCGUGAGGUGUCGGGUUAAGUCCCAUAACGAGCGCAACCCUUAUCGUUAGUUGCCAUCUGGUAAAGCAGGGGACUCUAGCGAAACUGCCACCGUAAGGUGAGAGGAAGGUGGGGAUGACGUCAAAUCAGCACGGCNNNNAUGUCCAGGGCUACACACGUGUUACAAUGGUCGGUACAGAGGGCAGCUACCUGGUGACAGGAUGCUAAUCUCGAAAACCGGUCUCAGUUCGGAUCGAAGUCUGCAACUCGACUUCGUGAAGCUGGAUUCGCUAGUAAUCGCGCAUCAGCCAUGGCGCGGUGAAUACGUUCCCGGGCCU